AUCGAACGCUGGCGGCAGGCCUAACACAUGCAAGUCGAACGAGUGGCGGACGGGUGAGUAAUGUCUGGGAAACUGCCUGAUGGAGGGGGAUAACUUCUGGAAACGGUAGCUAAUACCGCAUACCAUCAGAUGUGCUCAGUUGGGGUUAGCUUGUUGGUGGGGUAACGGGUCACCAAGGCGACGAUCCCUAGCUGGUCUGAGAGGAUGACCAGCCACACUGGAAUGGGGACACGGUCCAGGGGACUACGGGAGGCAGCAGUGGGGAAUAGUGCGCAAUGGGCGGAAGCCUGAUACAGCCAUGCCGCGUGUAUGAAGAAGGCCUUCGGGUUGUAAAGUACUUUCAGCGGGGAGGCGUUACCCGCAGAAGAAGCACCGGCUAACUCCGUGCCAGCAGCCGCGGUAAUUC
rnacentral:rRNA from 1 species